AUUGAACGCUGGCGGCAGGCCUAACACAUGCAAGUCGAACGGUAACAGGAAGAAGCUUGCUUCUUUGCUGACGAGUGGCGGACGGGUGAGUAAUGUCUGGGAAACUGCCUGAUGGAGGGGGAUAACUACUGGAAACGGUAGCUAAUACCGCAUAACGUCGCAAGACCAAAGAGGGGGACCUUCGGGCCUCUUGCCAUCGGAUGUGCCCAGAUGGUAUUAGCUAGUAGGUGGGGUAACGGCUCACCUAGGCGACGAUCCCUAGCUGGUCUGAGAGGAUGAAGAGCCCCACUGGAACUGAGACACGGUACAGACUCCGACGGGAGGCAGCAGCGGGGAAGAUUGCACAAUGGGCGCAAGCCUGAUGCAGCCAUGCCGGGUGUAUGAAGAAGGCCUGCGGGUUGUAAAGUACUUUCAGCGGGGAGGAAGGGAGUAAAGUUAAUACCUUUGCUCAUGGACGUUACCCGCAGAAGAAGCACCGGCUAACUCCGU
rnacentral:rRNA from 1 species